ACUCCUACGGGAGGCAGCAGUGGGGAAUAUUGGACACUGGGCGAAAGCCUGAUCCAGCAAUGCCGCGUGAGUGAUGAAGGCCUUAGGGUUGUAAAGCUCUUUUACCCGGGAUGAUAAUGACAGUACCGGGAGAAUAAGCCCCGGCUAACUCCGUGCCAGCAGCCGCGGUAAUACGGAGGGGGCUAGCGUUGUUCGGAAUUACUGGGCGUAAAGCGCGCGUAGGCGGCUUUGUAAGUUAGAGGUGAAAGCCCGGAGCUCAACUUCGGAAUUGCCUUUAAGACUGCAUCGCUAGAAUCGUGGAGAGGUGAGUGGAAUUCCGAGUGUAGAGGUGAAAUUCGUAGAUAUUCGGAAGAACACCAGUGGCGAAGGCGACUCACUGGACACGUAUUGACGCUGAGGUGCGAAAGCGUGGGGAGCAAACAGGAUUAGAAACCCUAGUAGUCCCAUGAU
rnacentral:rRNA from 1 species